UACGGGGGGGCAAGCGUUGUUCGGAAUUACUGGGCGUAAAGGGCUCGUAGGCGGCCAACUAAGUCGGAUGUGAAAUCCCCAGGCUUAACCUGGGAACUGCAUCCGAUACUGGAUGGCUUGAAUUCGGGAGAGGGAUGCAGAAUUCCAGGUGUAGCGGUGAAAUGCGUAGAUAUCUGGAGGAAUACCGGUGGCGAAGGCGGACAUCCU
rnacentral:rRNA from 1 species